GAGAAGUAGUCAGCGGCCGAUCUGAUCUCAUCAUCCUUGUAUUCACAUGGGAAUAAUUUAUCAAUAUUAACCAAUUUGGAUUCACUGCGCGUCUUUCCGGGAAACUUUGCGGACACUUUGCUGCGUUUCCUUUCCUUUCCUCUCAUCCGUUUCUUUUUUUUUUUUUUCUUCGUACGAGUUUGCAGCGCGCUUGUUUCUAAGAAUAAAACGGUAAUGCCAUCAAUUACAGCGGGCGCAUUCAUUCAUAAGGAGAGAUAAAGUCCUCCACCUCGGACGCACGACAAGAAAAGGGGAGUCCAGGCACACGGCGUCCUCUGAGGAAAACACGGAGCAGGGCGAGCUGUGGGGAGAAUACAAAUUAUACUUGAGAGAGAGAGAGAGAGAAACGUCCGGGAACAGCCAUGUACUUCGCUCUGUCUGUGUCCGGAGAGAGCUAGAACCAAGACGCUGCAUUUUUUUUUUGGAAACAACUCUAGUAAUUAUCAGAAGUGUUUGAGCUAUUUGUGUGAUCGGCGGCCAAAGUGAGAGGAUGACAGUCAAGCUGGACUUUGAGGAGUGUCUCAAAGACUCCCCCCGCUUCAGAGCAGACAUUGAAGAGGUCCAGAGCGAUGUGAGUGAAUUGGAGACACGACUAGAUAAGCUGGUGAAACAAUGCCACGCCAUGCUGGAGGCGGGCAAGGCCUACUGCCAGACCAGCAAGAGCUUCAUCAACGGCCUCAGGGAGCUGGGACACUACUGCUCCGGGGUCAGCCUGAUGGGGGAGUGCUUAGAGAAAUUUUCUGGAAGGCUGUCUACCAUCAUCGAGGCCCAGGGGGAAGUGAUUGAGACCACACAGAAGUCAGUCAAGUUGAAGCUGCAGACGUUUGUGAAAGAGGACGUUCGUCGCUUCAAGGAUGUGCGCAAGGAGUUUGAACGCAGCAGCGAGAGCCUGGAGGGGGCGCUGAUGAGGAACGCUCAGGUCCCGCGGGGGAAAGCGCACGAGGUGGAAGAGGCCAGCAACGCUCUGCUCAACGCCCGCAAGAGCUUCCGAUCUGAAGCCCUGGACUACGUGCUGGAGAUUAAUGUCAUCGAGGCCAAGAAGAAGACAGACAUCAUCAUGGCAAUGCUGUCGCUGAUGGACGCCCAGGCCCAGUUCUUCCAACAUGGCCACCAGUCUAUAUCACAGCUGGACGAGUAUCGACACAGACUUAGUGAACAGCACACUCAGCUCGUCCUGAACUCUGCCAGGGAGAAGAGGGAUAUGGAGCAAAGACACGCUGCCAUCAAGAAAAAGGACAUGUCCUACGACGACUCCAUCAUGGAUUUCAGUGCGGAUGCAGCUAACGGGAUAGCCAUGGAGGGCUACCUCUACAAGAGAGCCAGCAACGCCUUCAAAACCUGGAGCAGGCGCUGGUUUUCAAUCCAGAAAAAUCAGCUGGUCUAUCAGAAGAAAUACAAGGACCAGCCUACAGUUGUGGUGGAGGACUUGCGUCUUUGCACAGUCAAGCCCAGCACUGAAAAUGAGAGGCGGUUCUGCUUUGAAGUGGUCUCUCCUUCCAAGAGCUGUCUGUUGCAGGCGGACUCGGAGAGGCAGCAGCAGGCGUGGAUCAGCGCCGUCCAAAACAGCAUCGCCUCCGCCUUCCAGGAGCGCAGAGAGGACCCACACAGCCCGAGGCAGCGCUGCAGCUCGGUGUCGGUGAGCAGUGUGGGAGGAGGAGGAGGAGGUGGCGGCGAGCAGGAGACCCAGGACCGCGGGGCGCUGGAGGAGGUGCAGGCCAUCCCGGGGAACAGGCAGUGCUGCGACUGCGGAGAGCCCGGUCCCGACUGGGCCUCCAUCAAUCUGGGCAUCACACUGUGUAUUGUCUGCUCCGGCAUACACAGGAGCCUGGGAGUCCAUUUCUCCAAAGUGCGCUCCCUCACCCUCGACACCUGGGAGCCCGAGCUCAUCAAGCUGAUGUGUGAGCUAGGAAACACCGCCAUCAACAGGAUCUACGAGGCUCGCAUCGACGAGAUCACCAUCAAGAAGCCCCACCCAUCCAGUCCCAGAGGAGACAAGGAGUCGUGGAUCCGGUCGAAGUACGUGGAGAAGAAGUUCAUCCAAAAGCUUCCAGAGACGGGCCACAACCCCCUGCUGAGGCGAUCCAGCGCCAGGAGGAACCGGGCGACCACCCAGGACCGCACCGCACCCCGACCGGCGAUCAAACCCAAACCCAACCGGGCCACCCUGCCCCGGGUCACAGGGCUGAGUCCCAGUGACCUCCAAAAGAACAAUACAAGCAUUCAUAAAGACGAGGAGGAGGAGGAUCUCAGCGGCCUGCACCCCGGGGCGCUGCUGUACCGCUCGGCCGCCCUGCAGAACUUCCCCGUCAUGGCCGACGCCUUGGCCCACGGAGCCGACGUCAACUGGGUCAACGUGGCCGAGGAGUCCAGCACCCCGCUAAUACAGGCCGUGUCAGCGAACGCCCUGGCGGCGUGCGAGUUCCUGCUGCAGAACGGCGCCAACGUCAACCAGGCAGACAGCAACGGGAGAGGACCUCUGCACCACGCCACCAUCCUGGGACACACAGGGUUAGCAUGUCUCUUCUUGAAACGAGGGGCCGACUUCAACGCCAGAGACAAGAACCAGAAAGACCCCAUCUCCAUCGCUGUGGAUAACGCCAACGCUGACAUUGUCACUUUGCUGCGGAUCGCCAAGAUGAACAAGGAGAUGCGGGAGAUGGACGGAGCGUUUGGCCAAUCAGGUCACUCAGGGGGGCAGGGAUCUGGGGGUGGGACAGGAAGUGGGAUGGGCCACACCAGGAAGAGCCUGCAGGCGCUCAAGAACCACAUCAGCGGGUGGGCCUUAGGGGGUCAAACUGAGCAGAGGUGAUGAAGGGCAAGGCAUCGUCAACAAUAUGUGAUGCUAUGUUCAACGUGCGUGUUUACAGUUUGGUUUUGAGCGAAGGGGAAAGAAAGACUGCGAUUUAGACAUGACGCCAGUGUUGAGUUGUGGGGUUCGACCUCUGCUUGGACAUCAGAAAUAAUCUGGAUUGCCAAUUUCAUCUGGCGUUCCAGGGGCUCGAGUCACCUCAUCCAGGGACAUAUCCUCCCUCUGAACACUUAGUAGAAAAAACCAUGCAAAAUGUUUGCACUUCCGUUGCAAAGGAGAAUUGCAUUUUUUGAAAAAGCGUGAAAACACUUGAGGGCGAGCUGAAGGAGACGAGUGCUGUAACUAGAACACAGGGUACGACAGUAGAAAAGGCACAGUGUUGCUCUGUAAAAUGUAUGGAGGGGGGGAAUAAUUACACACACGGGGGUUUAUUAAUCAUCACGGACAGGGAAAUGUCUGUGUGAGAAAACAGGGGCGAAAUGCUCCAAGGGGUCCAUGUUGCACUUUGAAAAACCAACGCACAUCAUCCUGCACUUUCAAACCCACAAAAAUCGCAGAAAACCACACCGAUGCAGAAUGUUAAAAGUGGGUUUUUCCUAUCAUGUUGUACAGCUGAGGUUUAACAUUUUUCAUACAUGCCUGUAUAAAAUGUGUAUAUACAACGUACUGUACAGUAGGUUUACUUGGUGCUGAUACAUUAUGUAGUGGCUUUGUAUGUAUGCGCAGUGUGCUGGCUGCCUUUAGAAAUCAGCUUGUACUGUCUUUUUACUGCUCAUGUCUGUAUGUAUCUCAGUGUUUACUGGAUUGUCCCCCGUAGUUGUUGACUUGAGAUAAAUUCAGUACAGAGUUUGGUUCUCUUGGACUUUGCUUCCCCACUAUUCUGUGAAUAGCCAUCGAUCAUGCUCAGUGUGACGUGUUAUGCUGACACAUAUUGUGCUGCAAGAAAUCUCCAUCUUAACAAGCCAUUUGGUCUCAUAUUCAGUCUUUUUUUUCCCUUCAAACAAGUGGGGGAAAAAAUCAGACCGCAGGAUGAGAUGAUCCCACUCGUUUCAAGUGCAUUCACUUGUUUCUGGAUGUUCGUCUGGCAACAAGUCUAAAUCUGAUGAAACAAGGUUGAAUAAGGCGGAUCAGCCCACUAGCAUCAAGAAAAUGACAUGUGAUUUAAGAAAAUUCAAGUAGAUUAGCAAUGGGAACAAGUGGGAUUGCCUCAUCCCGCUGGCAGAUUUUUUCGUUUGAAGAAAAACAAGAUUUGAACAAAUGAUUUGUUAAGAUGCAGUUUUUUUUGCACUGUACCUUUAUUUAUUUCACACUGAGUCCAGGUCCUUGCUGUGGCCCUUGAGCUUCAGGUUUACAGUGGGCUUUGGUUGCAUAUUGUUGUUGAACUACUAUGCAAGCUGCAAUCCCUCCAUUCCUUCAUGAUCUUCAGGAUUUUGAGUUGCUGGUCUAAACUACUAAAGCAUAUUAGUUUUGCUCAUGAAUGAAUGGAAACGUGGUGCUUUUGUCUGCUUGGAACAAAUCUACACUGCUGGUCAGUAUUUGAUGUUGCUGUGCUUUUUCAUUGUGUGUGUGUGUGUGUGUGUUGUCUAUAUGUGUGUUUGUGCGCGCGCGUGCCUGCACAUCAUGCACUCGUGUGCCUAUGCCCUCUGCCCGCUGAGAUGUCCGACUGGUGUCAGCCGCUUGCGCAGUGUGCCACCUGCUGCACCCUGAGAGGUGAUGAAACCUACCAGGACAUCUUCAGAGACUUUUCACACAUGGCCUCAAACAACCCUGAGAAGCUCAAACGCCGCAGCGCCGACCCCAAGAUGUAACCAGCUGCUUGUGCCUUUUUUACACCGGUGUCCGACACCCUUGUUUCACAUAUUAGUCCUACACACCCACUUUGAGACAUGCAUGCACAAACAGACACACACACACACACGCACAAACCAUGCUGGGUUGUCUUCACAGGCACACACACACACACACACACAUACACACACACAGUCUGUCUCUCCUUGGCCGCCUGCCACAUGUUUAGUCAGAGCUCAGCUGGUGUUGACUUCAGAGGAGCGGAGCGGUCCAACAGUGAAUUCUUUGUGUUGACCCGUCAGACGAGAACAAUUGUGUCCGAGUGGAAACAGAUUGUAGCUGCUCUAGCAGACCAGCGUGAGGCGUCUCGGUGUCUGGCAGAGGGUAACACACCGCUAUUUCAUUUUAAGUCUUUUUUUUUUUUUUUUAAAUUAGCGAGGCUGUUCCUAUUUGUGAAGAUGAAGUAAAAAAUGGUGGAAAUGAAAAUGUUUGUUGUAAAGGGUCAACUGUUUUCCAUCAAACUGCAGUAUAUGUUCCUUUUUUUUUUUUUUUUUAAAUAAAUUGGGAUGUCUUUCCAUGUUCAUUUUGUCUCAGUGAUAAGAGGUAUUUCAGACUUGUAUCUCAUGAUCAAAUAAAAUGCAACAGAAAACUU